rnacentral:rRNA from 1 species
UACGUAGGGCGCAAGCGUUGUCCGGAAUUAUUGGGCGUAAAGAGCUCGUAGGCGGCCUGUUGCGUCCGCUGUGAAAACCCGGGGCUUAACCCCGGGCUUGCAGUGGAUACGGGCAGGCUGGAGGCAGGCAGGGGAGAACGGAAUUCCCGGCGUAGCGGUGAAAUGCGCAGAUAUCGGGAGGAACACCGGUGGCGAAGGCGGUUCUCUGGGCCUGUACUGACGCUGAGGAGCGAAAGCGUGGGGAGCGAACAGG